UACGUAGGGGGCGAGCGUUGUCCGGAUUUAUUGGGCGUAAAGAGCGUGUAGGCGGUUCGGUAAGUCUGUCGUGAAAUCCUGAGGCUCAACCUCGGGCGUGCGAUGGAUACUGCCGGGCUAGAGGAUGGUAGAGGCGAGUGGAAUUCCCGGUGUAGCGGUGAAAUGCGCAGAUAUCAGGAGGAACACCGAUGGCGAAGGCAGGUCUCUGGGCAUUAACUGACGCUGAGGAGCGAAAGCAUGGGGAGCGAACAGG
rnacentral:rRNA from 1 species